rnacentral:rRNA from 1 species
CUAGCGACUUCAGAGUUUGAUCCUGGCUCAGGAUGAACGCUGGCGGCGUGCUUAACACAUGCAAGUCGAACGAAGCACUUGAAUGGAUUUCUUCGGAAUGAAGCUCUUGUGACUGAGUGGCGGACGGGUGAGUAACGCGUGGGUAACCUGCCUCAUACAGGGGGAUAACAGUUGGAAACGGCUGCUAAUACCGCAUAAGCGCACGGUAUCGCAUGAUACAGUGUGAAAAACUCCGGUGGUAUGAGAUGGAUCCGCGUCUGAUUAGCUAGUUGGUAGGGUAACGGCCUACCAAGGCGACGAUCAGUAGCCGACCUGAGAGGGUGACCGGCCACAUUGGGACUGAGACACGGCCCAA